UCAAGAUUCUGGUUGUGCUAAGGCACGCCCAGCUCCUGAGACAUGUAGCCCAGCACGGAGAAGAUGGCAAAGCCAGCCAGGAUGCUGGUGAUGGCGUUGCCCAGAGUGACGAUGAAAGUGUCUCUACCAGAAGAAGUCCAGGAGGCAAAGGUGAGGAGCCCCCCGAAGCCCACACCCAGGGAAUAGAAGAUCUGAAGAGCAGCUUCAAUCCACACCUGUGCCGGGAAGGAUGGAAAGGGAGGGUGUGCGGAUGGUCAAGGACAGAGAAGGAAGGCAGUGAAUGAAGAUGGUGUGACAGCUCCAGGGAUGGCGUGGUCACGAGGGAUGGCGUGGUCAUGAGCCUGGCUCACAAGUGACGUGGACCAGGAGCAAAGCCUCCCCCAACAUUUACACGGUGGGACAUGGGCAAGUCCCUUCCCCUCUGCGGGCUUCAGUUUCCCACCCAGGAUCUAGAAGAUGGUCUCUAAGCUUGGUCCAGUUCUGAAGGACACAGAGCCUAAUGUAAAGUGUGCAGGAGAUUUGUAUUGGCAGUAAGCCUGCAUAACCCCUUUACUUCCUUUCUGGAAUCCUGGCACCUGGAUUUGGACCCCAGCUUCACCAUUUUCUAGCUGUGCAGCCUGAACAAGCCAGGUCACCCCUCUGGACCGCAGGAUCCCUAUCUGUAACGAGGGGAUAGGAAUAGUGCCUACUUCAUGGGAGGAGGGUGGGUUAAAUCACUACACACAUGCAUGUAAAACACUAGGGCAAGGUCAGGCACAGUCCCCAGUCAAUAAAUAUUAACAUUAGCUGUCAGUACCAUUGUUAUCACCAUUGUCACUAAUGCCCUCCUUGGGGUUUACAGUCACACAAAUCUGGGCUGGGAUCCCUGUUCUUCGAUCCCCUAGCUGUAUGACCGUAAGCUUGAUAAGAACCCUUUUGAGCCUCAGUUUAUUCCUCUGUAAAAUGAGGAUAGUGUUUCCAUGAUUGUUAAUAAUAAUAAAUGAAGUAUAAUAUGCAGUUAGUGACAAUAUAUCGUAUUCUUGGAGAAUGCUAAGAGAGUGGAUGUUAAGUGUUCUCACUACAAAAAUGAUAAUUAUGUGAGAUAAUACAUAUGCUAAUUAGCUAGAUUUAACAGUU
rnacentral:lncRNA from 1 species